GCUAAAAUCUCUAUAUCAGGUCAGUGGCGUAAGGGUGAGUAAGGCGACGGCAACCAACCCCAUGGUUGGGCAUAGCCGCGGGAAACUGCGGGUAAUUCCCAGCGAUGUUCGUGCCGGGCAUCCGGCGUGAACCAAAGUUUCGGCGCCGUGGGACGGGCCGUCGUGGUAUUAGGUCGUUGGCGGGGUAAUGGCCCACCAAGCCUUUGAUGCCUACCGGGCGUGCGAGCGUGGCCCGGCACACUGGGACUGAGACACUGCCCAGACUCCUGCGGGAGGCUGCAGUCGAGAAUCUUCGGCAAUGGGCGCAAGCCUGACCGAGCGACGCCGCGUGGAGGAUGAAGGCCUUCGGGUUGUAAACUCCUGUCGAGGGGGAGGAAGGCGCAAGCUUGACCUAUCCCUGGAGGAAGCACGGGCUAAGUUCGUGCCAGCAGCCGCGGUAAUACGAACCGUGCUAACGUUAUUCGGAAUCACUGGGCUUAAAGCGCGUGUAGGCGGAUGGGGACGUCGGUUGCUGAAAGCCCCCGGCUCAACCGGGGAACGGGCGCCGAAACGCCUCGUCUUGAGGGACGUAGGGGGACCUGGAACUUCCGGUGGAGCGGUGAAAUGCGUUGAGAUCGGAAGGAACGCCCGUGGCGAAAGCGAGGUCCUGGACGUUUUCUGACGCUGAGACGCGAAAGCUAGGGUAGCGAACGGGAUUAGAUACCCCGGUAGUCCUAGCUGUAAACGAUGGGCACUGGGUAGGGGGCUCGCCGAUGGGCUCUCUGCCGUAGGGAAACCGUGAAGUGCCCCGCCUGGGGAGUAUGGUCGCAAGGCUGGAACUCAAAGGAAUUGACGGGGGCUCACACAAGCGGUGGAGCAUGUGGCUUAAUUCGAGGCUACGCGAAGAAC
rnacentral:rRNA from 1 species